CGCUUUCAAGGAGGAUCACCUUAUAUCUAUCCACUAUAUGGGCUGGGUGAGCUACCACAGGGUUUUGCACGACUGAGUGCUGUUUAUGGUGGUACUUACAUGUUAAACAAGCCAGAUUGCAAGGUUGAAUUCGAUAUGGAGGGGAAAGUGUGUGGUGUCACAUCUGAAGGUGAAACUGCAAAGUGCAAGAAGGUGGUGUGUGAUCCUUCGUAUUUACAAAACAAGGU